GAUAUGAUAGGAAUUAUUAAUCUGUCGCAACGAAAAAGAGCAUAAGAAUUUUAUUGGUGUUCACUCUAUAUUUGAUAUUUUUGCUUAAGCUUAAUACUUGCUGACUUAUCGUUACAUUGAAGUUAUUCAUUUGUUUCUUAAAUAAAUAUUUAUUUAUUACAUAAAAAUAAACCAUCGGUUAUCAAAGAAAAAAGAAUUUAAUAAAAUGGUGUGUGUACCAUGCGUUGCUAUUCCUAUAUUAUUAAUUAUAUGGAGAUUUUUAAUUCAACCGAUUAUUUUAAAAUGGUGGCAAUUAAAAAACAAAAUCAAAUGUACUAAUGAAAAAGAACCAACAUCAGAUUUAGUUAAAGAUUGUAAAAAUGGAGUAUGUACA
rnacentral:lncRNA from 1 species